rnacentral:lncRNA from 1 species
GGUAAUAAUAGGAUACAUGGUCAGUUUGGUUUGGACUUGAAUGUUAAGGUAUCUAAUUAUCUAAUUAGAAUUACCUUAUCUGAUGAAGGGUGAAAGCUUAGCACUAUCUAAUGUUUUUACUAAGAAGCAAACCAAGGAAAUUCUUACUUUCCUGCUACGAAGGGAACGCCCUUUGUAGAGUUAGCCGGUAUCUCCCCUUGCAAGCCAGGAAUGAUCUCAGUCAUUGCUUGAACAAGCUUGAGAUCUUCACUGUUGCUUUCAUAACAUCGACCCCAUCUUGGAUCUCUGCAAACCUGCACACACAGACAGAAGAGAGGAAUUAGAGCUCAGCUUAAAAUAAAGUGACCUAUGUGGAUACUAAUUAAAUUUAUUUGCUGCUAUACAUGGUGCAAAGACAUAUGGAAUGCCUGUGGCUCUAACUUCGAGUGCCGUUGCAGCUCCGAUCAUCUUAACAAGUUGAGGGUCUCUGCUUGAUUUCAGUUUGAGGAAAUUGACAUUAGUAGAAAUUUACUUUUUCUUGAAUUCUGU